rnacentral:rRNA from 1 species
UACGGAGGGGGCUAGCGUUGCUCGGAAUUACUGGGCGUAAAGCGCGCGUAGGCGGCUUUGUAAGUUAGAGGUGAAAGCCCAGGGCUCAACCCUGGAAUUGCCUUUAAGACUGCAUCGCUUGAACAUCGGAGAGGUAAGUGGAAUUCCGAGUGUAGAGGUGAAAUUCGUAGAUAUUCGGAAGAACACCAGUGGCGAAGGCGACUUACUGGACGAUUGUUGACGCUGAGGUGCGAAAGCGUGGGGAGCAAACAGG